CCGAUGCCACACCAAAUGGCUAGAGGGUGUGUUUGGGAUGACCUGAGUCUGGUAGGCAACUUCCAGUGGACCCCACAGUGCGACCACCUCCCUUUGAGUGUGGGGGAGAUGUAGCGACUGGCUUCUAGCAGUAGGAUAGGGCAGAGGUGACGGUAGGUUAGUCUUGUGGUUAGGUUACAAAACUGACCUCUGUGAUGGUAGCGUCCCUCUUGUCAGCCCUCUCGUCUUGCCCUCUCGCUGGCUGGCGGUGAUGGAGCCGGCUGCCAUGGUGAGCCGCCCUGUGGAGAAGCCAGGGAGGAAUGGAGACAAUCUGGAGAAACAGAAUCACACCAACAACCACGUGUGUGAGCUUGCUGUGUGCUCUUGCUUGGGAGCAAGUUACAGGUUCAGCCCAAGAGGAGUGGACCACUCCAGGGUGUGAAUACCAGGAGGGGGAAUUGGAAGACUACCCUAAGCAUGCCGACUGGAGACUGUGUGUGUAGUAGGUAUUUCUUACUGGGAGAUCACGGAAAAGCAAGUUUGAGAAACACUCCCAUCAGAUGGGUGGGCCGAGGAUAACCUCAAAGCCUUUGGUUCUCUGAAUAGGUGGUAGGACUCACCCAGGCACUCUUUCCUUUUUUAAAUUGUGGUAAAAAGUACAUAACAGUGGCCAGGCAUGAUGGUGCACGCCUGUAAUCCCAGCUACUAGGGAGGCUGAGGCAGAAGAACUGCUUGAACCAAGGGGGCACCGCUCCUGGCUGUAACAUGUUUUCAACAUCCCCCCUCUUCGGUGGCACAGGGGCUGGCCCCAUAUACAUGUGUGAUGGCAACUGACAGGGUCCCUGAUAACACCGGAGUGCUCCAGAAACACCCCAUUGCCUGGGACGGAGGAUGUUAUGUGGCCCUCCUAGGGUUUGAGUUUGAUAAAUGAGCAAAGGAAGUGGUUUUUAGUAGAAAGCCAGCUUUCCUUUUUUUUUUUUUUUUUCCCAGCCAGCAAACCCCAAACAGGAACCUAUGGUUGGUGAUGGAUGUGCGUUCAGAAAGCAGGGAGGGAGGGGGAGUCAGAGGUGAGGGGGGUCAUCAGCCAUAGCUGUCCGCUGCAUCACCCCCUCGCUAUCUCCAGAAAGUGUUCUGGGCUUUUCCUGUUGUGCAGUGUGGAAGUGCCCCAUCUUCAUUCAUAUCGAGGAAAGUCAAAGGACAAACUAAAGCCGGCAGCGUCUUUCUGGCUUCCUAGUCAGGCUGUUCGGUAGCGGAGUGUCACCCUGAUUUCCAGCCCCGCAGCACACACAGUGAGACCCUGCCUGGCGUGAUUCAGAGGCAACAUAUUUCCCAAGGUGGCUGUGAAGGAACCAGGGGGAUAAACACAGCCCAUGAACCGCAAGCCAGAGGACAGGUCCAGCUGGCUGCUGCGGAGUCAUCACGGCGUGUCGCGUCUGAGCACUUCUCCAAAGCACCCAAGUGGCACCCGGGGCGACAUUUACAUCAUCUUGAGUACAGUUCUCUCAAGGAAAAAGCAAGCCCAGCAUCUUCUGCCAUGGCAACCCUGGCUUGGAGCCUCAUAAGAGAGAAGGCCCUAAGAAUACCAUUUUCUUGCUCUAAGUUGCUCUUACGGGAAAGAAGUGAUAAUAUUCUUCCUAAACGCCAUCAUUCGUGCAUCCUUCCUACCUACAUGUGUCACCGGAUCAUUCUCCGCCUGGGCGGGGCCGUCCUGUGCACUGCACAAUGCUGAGCAGUGUCCUUGGCUUCGACCGACCAGAUGCCAGGAGCACCCCAAUUUCUGCCAUCGGGUGACUGACUUCACUGUUGCAUUUGAUUUUUUAUGUAUCUUUUAAAAAGGACCCAAUAGGGCCAGGCACAGUGGCUCAUACUUGUAAUCCCAGCACUUUGGGAGGCUGAGGUCGGUGGAUUGCUUGAGCCCAGGAGGAGUUCAAGACCAGCCUGGGCAACAUAGUGAAACCCCCCAACUCUACAAAAAACAAAUGUUUUAUUUCUAUUUUUAUUUAUUUUAGAUGGAGUUUCACUCUUGUUGCCCAGGCUGGAGUGCAGUGGCGCAAUCUCGGCUCCCAGGUUCAAGCGAUUCUCCUGCCUCAGCCUCCUGAGUAUCUGGGAUUACAGGCAUGUGCCACCACACCCAGCUAAUUUUGUAUUUUUAGUAGAGAUGGCGUUUCUCCAUGUUGGUCAGGCUGGUCUCAAACUCCCGACCUCAGGUGAUCUGCCUGCCUCGGCCUCCCAGAGUGUUGGGAUUACAGGCGUGAGCCACCACGCCCAGCCGGGUUUAUAGUUUUAUAACCCUUAUGACAAAUCUCAUAGUAUUCUGCAGGGAUAAGCAUGAAACCACUUGUUCAAUAAGUGCAAACAAAAACGCCAACAAUUCUUAAGACAUUUCUAAUCUUAUUUUACCAAUAAUUUUAAAGCCAGCUUAUGUAUUAAAGAUUUAUAACCACUGUUAUUAGCGUUUAAAAUUCUAUGCAGCUUAAAGCAUUUAUAAUGGAUAAAACUGCCAAUACUGAGUGCCUGACAUAAUAUCUGAAAGGUGGCAGGCAUUCAACCAUGGCCACUGAAUGAGAGAUGUAGGGAAGAUGAUGGCAGGGAGGUUUUUAGAUAUCAACACCCUGAUAGUCCUCAUUUUAACCACCUGUAAGUGCACAUACAAGUCAACGCCACUGUGCCUGGCUGAUUUUUAUUCUUUUAGUUAAGGCUGGUUGAUAUUACCUUGUGUGUAUAUACCACAUGUUGUUUAUCCAUUGUUGUUGAUGGACAUGUGGGUGGUUUCACCUUUUGGCUAUUGUGAAUAAAGCUGCUAUGAACACUGUGUAC
rnacentral:sRNA from 1 species